rnacentral:rRNA from 1 species
CAUAGGUUAAUGAGGCGAACCGGGGGAACUGAAACAUCUAAGUACCCCGAGGAAAAGAAAUCAACCGAGAUUCCCCCAGUAGCGGCGAGCGAACGGGGAGGAGCCCAGAGCCUGAAUCAGUGUGUGUGUUAGUGGAAGCGUCUGGAAAGGCGCGCGAUACAGGGUGACAGCCCCGUACACAAAAAUGCACAUAUUGUGAGCUCGAUGAGUAGGGCGGGACACGUGGUAUCCUGUCUGAAUAUGGGGGGACCAUCCUCCAAGGCUAAAUACUCCUGACUGACCGAUAGUGAACCAGUACCGUGAGGGAAAGGCGAAAAGAACCCCGGCGAGGGGAGUGAAAAAGAACCUGAAACCGUGUACGUACAAGCAGUGGGAGCCUCUUUAUGGGGUGACUGCGUACCUUUUGUAUAAUGGGUCAGCGACUUAUAUUCUGUAGCAAGGUUAACCGAAUAGGGGAGCCGAAGGGAAACCGAGUCUUAACUGGGCGUUAAGUUGCAGGGUAUAGACCCGAAACCCGGUGAUCUAGCCAUGGGCAGGUUGAAGGUUGGGUAACACUAACUGGAGGACCGAACCGACUAAUGUUGAAAAAUUAGCGGAUGACUUGUGGCUGGGGGUGAAAGGCCAAUCAAACCGGGAGAUAGCUGGUUCUCCCCGAAAGCUAUUUAGGUAGCGCCUCGUGAAUUCAUCUCCGGGGGUAGAGCACUGUUUCGGCAAGGGGGUCAUCCCGACUUACCAACCCGAUGCAAACUGCGAAUACCGGAGAAUGUUAUCACGGGAGACACACGGCGGGUGCUAACGUCCGUCGUGAAGAGGGAAACAACCCAGACCGCCAGCUAAGGUCCCAAAGUCAUGGUUAAGUGGGAAACGAUGUGGGAAGGCCCAGACAGCCAGGAUGUUGGCUUAGAAGCAGCCAUCAUUUAAAGAAAGCGUAAUAGCUCACUGGUCGAGUCGGCCUGCGCGGAAGAUGUAACGGGGCUAAACCAUGCACCGAAGCUGCGGCAGCGACACUAUGUGUUGUUGGGUAGGGGAGCGUUCUGUAAGCCUGUGAAGGUGGCCUGUGAGGGUUGCUGGAGGUAUCAGAAGUGCGAAUGCUGACAUAAGUAACGAUAAAGCGGGUGAAAAGCCCGCUCGCCGGAAGACCAAGGGUUCCUGUCCAACGUUAAUCGGGGCAGGGUGAGUCGACCCCUAAGGCGAGGCCGAAAGGCGUAGUCGAUGGGAAACAGGUUAAUAUUCCUGUACUUGGUGUUACUGCGAAGGGGGGACGGAGAAGGCUAUGUUGGCCGGGCGACGGUUGUCCCGGUUUAAGCGUGUAGGCUGGUUUUCCAGGCAAAUCCGGAAAACCAAGGCUGAGGCGUGAUGACGAGGCACUACGGUGCUGAAGCGACAAAUGCCCUGCUUCCAGGAAAAGCCUCUAAGCAUCAGGUAACAUCAAAUCGUACCCCAAACCGACACAGGUGGUCAGGUAGAGAAUACCAAGGCGCUUGAGAGAACUCGGGUGAAGGAACUAGGCAAAAUGGUGCCGUAACUUCGGGAGAAGGCACGCUGAUAUGUAGGUGAAGCGACUUGCUCGUGGAGCUGAAAUCAGUCGAAGAUACCAGCUGGCUGCAACUGUUUAUUAAAAACACAGCACUGUGCAAACACGAAAGUGGACGUAUACGGUGUGACGCCUGCCCGGUGCCGGAAGGUUAAUUGAUGGGGUUAGCGGUAACGCGAAGCUCUUGAUCGAAGCCCCGGUAAACGGCGGCCGUAACUAUAACGGUCCUAAGGUAGCGAAAUUCCUUGUCGGGUAAGUUCCGACCUGCACGAAUGGCGUAAUGAUGGCCAGGCUGUCUCCACCCGAGACUCAGUGAAAUUGAACUCGCUGUGAAGAUGCAGUGUACCCGCGGCAAGACGGAAAGACCCCGUGAACCUUUACUAUAGCUUGACACUGAACAUUGAGCCUUGAUGUGUAGGAUAGGUGGGAGGCUUUGAAGUGUGGACGCCAGUCUGCAUGGAGCCGACCUUGAAAUACCACCCUUUAAUGUUUGAUGUUCUAACGUUGGCCCGUAAUCCGGGUUGCGGACAGUGUCUGGUGGGUAGUUUGACUGGGGCGGUCUCCUCCUAAAGAGUAACGGAGGAGCACGAAGGUUGGCUAAUCCUGGUCGGACAUCAGGAGGUUAGUGCAAUGGCAUAAGCCAGCUUGACUGCGAGCGUGACGGCGCGAGCAGGUGCGAAAGCAGGUCAUAGUGAUCCGGUGGUUCUGAAUGGAAGGGCCAUCGCUCAACGGAUAAAAGGUACUCCGGGGAUAACAGGCUGAUACCGCCCAAGAGUUCAUAUCGACGGCGGUGUUUGGCACCUCGAUGUCGGCUCAUCACAUCCUGGGGCUGAAGUAGGUCCCAAGGGUAUGGCUGUUCGCCAUUUAAAGUGGUACGCGAGCUGGGUUUAGAACGUCGUGAGACAGUUCGGUCCCUAUCUGCCGUGGGCGCUGGAGAACUGAGGGGGGCUGCUCCUAGUACGAGAGGACCGGAGUGGACGCAUCACUGGUGUUCGGGUUGUCAUGCCAAUGGCACUGCCCGGUAGCUAAAUGCGGAAGAGAUAAGUGCUGAAAGCAUCUAAGCACGAAACUUGCCCCGAGAUGAGUUCUCCCUGACUCCUUGAG